rnacentral:piRNA from 6 species
UGGUUCAGUGGUAGAAUUCUCGCCUGCC